rnacentral:rRNA from 1 species
GACGAACGCUGGCGGCGUGCCUAAUACAUGCAAGUAGAACGCUGAAGAGAGGAGCUUGCUCUUCUUGGAUGAGUUGCGAACGGGUGAGUAACGCGUAGGUAACCUGCCUUGUAGCGGGGGAUAACUAUUGGAAACGAUAGCUAAUACCGCAUAACAAUGGAUGACACAUGUCAUUUAUUUGAAAGGGGCAAUUGCACCACUACAAGAUGGACCUGCGUUGUAUUAGCUAGUAGGUGAGGUAAUGGCUCACCUAGGCGACGAUACAUAGCCGACCUGAGAGGGUGAUCGGCCACACUGGGACUGAGACACGGCCCAGACUCCUACGGGAGGCAGCAGUAGGGAAUCUUCGGCAAUGGGGGCAACCCUGACCGAGCAACGCCGCGUGAGUGAAGAAGGUUUUCGGAUCGUAAAGCUCUGUUGUAAGUCAAGAACGGGUGUGAGAGUGGAAAGUUCACACUGUGACGGUAGCUUACCAGAAAGGGACGGCUAACUACGUG